UAGAAAGACGAGGAGAAAAGUUAACCCUGU
rnacentral:piRNA from 1 species